AAAGUGAACACACCCACCCAACCUCGAUUCCCCAUUCCUCCAGCGCCCGCGCAACCCCAACCUCACCGGCGAAGCGCUCGCCGGCCACCAUCCACCCGAUUAGCUCCCCGUCUCCACUUCCCUGCUCCCCAAUCUUGGAUACCGCGAGCGGCUCAUCUGUCGGCUCGCCGUCCAGGACGACGCGGCUCCGGCGGAAAGGCACAGGAUGGGCCUCGCCGUUCGGUUCACCGGCCGCAUCCGUCGCUGCUCUUACGCGGAAUCAAGCGCCGCUCCUGGUCGUCCCAGGGCACCGGCCGCCUCCAAUCGAUGGAUGGAGAGGGGGCUUCCACCGUCGAGGCCUUCCUACGCCAAAUGCCUUCCCCGACGACCACCACCACGACACCCCCUCCUCCCCCUUUCCCGAUUCAACGCCGUUGAACCGCUGCUCCGCCCGCCACAGACCCUAGCCCAGCCACCGGCGUUACAGAGGAGCAAUACGUCAAUGAUCGGUCUUUGCCGUCCAUGGGUAUCGCGGCGCCUCGGUGACGGGUGGGGGUGAGGCGGCAUGGCUACACUGCUGCACCAGGCGGAGCAGACAUUUCCAGCCAGUAGACCACGGCCCUUGCGGACGCCGGCGUCCUCGGGGCCUUCUUGACCACCGGCGAGCGGAUCCAGGCGCCGCGGGGUGGCUGCAACUCCGGAUAGCCCUCCUCUCAGUCAUUCCCUAUGUCAGCCGGCCUCCAACGACACCCUCACGUCCGAUUGCAGCAGCCGCGCGGGUGGUUAGCUGUAGGAGGCGGAGAGGUUGAGCGGGGAGAAGUUGGGCGGCUCGUCGGCUGGCGGCGACCUGUACAUCGGCCCACUUGCCGGCGCCGACAACCAAAGCCGCUGCCACGCCAUGUUGCCCUGCUUGCUCGGGCUUUUCGGCAUCCAGAGCGCAAGCCUCAGCGCCUAUGUUCAUGGACGUGCUUCAGCUGUUGGAAGUCGGUGCCCUCCCCAUUCUGACCUGCCACUUCUUUGCUGCUGAUUGCUGCCGCAUGCCGAGCCCAAGGGGGAGAUGAUGGUGCCGGCGCGGGUGUGGAGGAUUGGUGGUUGGUUCAGGAGGGCACCCGGCUUACGAAUUCCUCCACUCGGGAAAUCGGCGCAAGAACGACUAGGAAUGGAAUUGGCACCACCCGAAAUGGGAAUCUGGCCAAAUCCUGGAGUUGCUGUUGUCGGCGACGUCGCUGACAUGUUGCUGCACUUCCCUCCCCAACCAGUUGCUGCUGACUUGCUGACUACCCGUUGCCGUGGCUUCUGGUGCGUGUUUGGCGCGUACUGAAACCAGGGGUUUCUAUCUCGGCAUCACUCUGACUGCCGGAAUGGCUUCCCCAAGGAAGCUCCAUCGGCUCUGCAUUGUCCGGUGAGAGGAAGGACUUCGGGAACUCAACAAGGGAAUGCUGUGCGGGAGAAAGAUUCCGCCUUGCCGUUCUGCAGACUACACAGAGCUUGGCAGUGCCGACCUCCCUGAGCUCAUGCUACUGUCGGUGUCACCCAGAGCAAUAGCCGGCGUUUUCCAGGAAAAGUGCGAGACGACAAGAAGGCCGACCUGCUGCUGAUUGACUUCCUGCCGCAGCAAGGAGGUAUCAAACACAUCGCCAUGAAAGUCAAGUCUUUGUGUCGCUGAUCUUGGACAAAAAGGGUAGUGAGAUGAACAUCCUUGUCUUUGACCUAAGUGGUGAUACUUUUGAUGUUCGUAUCGUGACCAUUGCCAACGGUCGGUUUUAGAUGUUGGCCACCAAUGGUGGCAGCCUUCUUGGAGGUGAGGACUUCGACAACAGAAUCAUGAACAACUUCAUCAAGUUGAUCAAGAAGUACAAGGAAAAUCAUGCUCUUGGAAAGCUGAGGAGGGAAGCUCUGACCCAUGGCAGGUUUUGAUGAGCCGAACAAUGACAUCUUCCGCAAGGCAAUGGGACCUGUGAAGAAGGCCAUGGAUGAAGCUGGCCUUGAGAAUAGCUAGAUCCAUGAAAUUCUUCUUGUUGGUAGUAGCACGAGGAUACCAAAGGUCCAACACCUUCUCAGGGACUACUUCGACGCAAGGAGCCAAGCAAGGGUCUAUUUUGAUUUUGCGAGCACUUGCACCAAGGUGCCAAUUGCAAACUAAAUGAUCUUUCAAAUGACCUCCUCUUAGAUUCCAAAGUUUAGGUUGUUGCAUCAUAAUUUUUCGGCCUUCUUUGAUGCUUCUAUGUUUAGGACGAUUCACCAAGUGGAGCCAAGCAGGCGAGGUGGCCCACCCUGAAGCUGAACGAGAGGAUCAUGUCGUCUCUGUCAAGGAGAUACAUGGCCACACAUCCAUGAUAAUGAACUUGUUUGAUCAUGCAAAGCCGGAGAUCAAGGCUCCGCGCAUCUCCGAGCGAGAAGUUUGGCUUACCCAAGCUGCUGCUACCGCCGUCUCCCCUGACCUUCUGCUGCAUGGGAAUAAGCCCUCAUUGUAGGAAGUCGAAGAAGGACUACAGGGAGCUUGUCAGCGCCGGCCUCCCCGAGCUCAUGCCGCUAUCGGUAUCAACCCAUAGCAAUAGCCAGCUCUUUCCAGGAGAAGGGCGAGGCUACAAGGACGCCGAACUGCUGCUGAUUGACCUCCUUCCGGGACAAGGAGGAAUCGAACACACCAACAUGAAAGUCAAGUCUUCGUCUUGCUGGUGGGACAAGGAGGAAUCGAACACACCGACAUGAAAGUCAAGUCUUCGUCUUGCUGAUCUUGGACAAAAAGGGCAGGGAGAAGAACAUCCUUGUCUUUGACCUAAGUGGUGUUACUUUUGAUGUCUGACCACUGCCAACGGGUGGCUUUUAGGUGUUGGCCACCAAUGGUGGCACCCUUCUUGGAGGUGAAGAUUUCGACCAUAGAAUCAUGAACUACUUCAUCAAGUUGAUCAAGAAGUACAACAAGGAAAACCGUGCUCUUGGAAAGCUGAGGAGGGAAGAUGUGGAUCAAGCACAUCGGUGGCGCUUAUAGGCUUCUAUGGUCAUGAUAGCCGGGAGGAUACAAGACACGAGGAAGAUCCUCGAUUACUGCCGGUGCUAGAGGACCUCCGAUCUGGUCCGAGUCGAGCUCACCUGCCUCUGUUGUAAGUUCUCGGCCUCAUCUCUUCUCCCCGUGCAGACCAGAAAACGCAAGAUUUCAUCUUGCUCGUGCAUAUAAGGACCUUGGUUGGUCAUGCAAAGCCGGAGAUCAAGGCUCUGUGCAUAUCCGAGUAAGAAGGCUGUCCUACACAAGCUAGUGCUACCGUCGUCUUCCCUGACCCCUGCUGUACGGCCAGGAUGACCUCAAGCACGAGGUGUCCAGGAUGGACACACCCACUGGCAUCACCUUGAAGAACACUUUGGGGAUAUCUGAUAUCUACAGACAGAUGCGGUGCACUGGCAAUGCCGCUGUCGCAGGGCGGUAGUUCAUCCAGGUCCUCGUCUACUUGCUUAACUUGCCGGUGUCCUGCACCGCUAGUUCCAGAUUAUGCCCAUGGCCAUCGAUCCUCCCAUCUCUGGAUAGAGUCAUCUAGGUAUUUUCCUUCACAUGUUUCUCUUCUAUGGGUUGGUUAGUAUUCUCAAUGGAAUUUAUGAUAGCCGCGGCUGCCUGGGAAUAAGUCCUCAAUGAAGGCUCUUCACCAGUUAUGACUUAUUUUAGUACGGAUGCAACUACAGCUUGAAAGAAGAACACUUGCCACCUAGCAGAGUGUCGCCCUGCUGCAUAAAACUACCUGAGUUCAUCACUAAGAAGAGAGAUUGCAGAAACAAUGUUCACUCCCUAUUUGGAAGGCAUGAAGCAUGACAGGUUGCAGAGUGGGGCUGUGCUCGCCAAGCCGUUUGUUGAUGUUUGCAAGCAGAUCCUACCUAUCUUGGUUCCUCUCUCCGCCUAGUGUUUUGCCAUGAAUUUUGUAUGUCAUGUGUUGGAGUGAAUCUAGGAUAGCUGGUGAGCAAUUGGUUGUACUUGGAGAUGUGCAAUUUUAAAUGAGCAAUGAAUAAUCAAUUGUUGGACCUUUGUCACAGGCAGAUGAUUUUCUUGGUUUA